UACGUAGGGUGCAAGCGUUAAUCGGAAUUACUGGGCGUAAAGCGUGCGCAGGCGGUUAUGUAAGACAGAUGUGAAAUCCCCGGGCUCAACCUGGGAACUGCAUUUGUGACUGCAUAGCUGGAGUACGGUAGAGGGGGAUGGAAUUCCGCGUGUAGCAGUGAAAUGCGUAGAUAUGCGGAGGAACACCGAUGGCGAAGGCAAUCCCCUGGACCUGUACUGACGCUCAUGCACGAAAGCGUGGGGAGCAAACAGG
rnacentral:rRNA from 1 species